CCCCUUGUGAGCUCGCGGUAUUUUCCUUAAAUGAUCGAGCUCCGCUUGGCACAGCUGACCUGGAGCCUGAGAGGAUUAUGAAAACGUGUGGG
rnacentral:scRNA from 1 species